rnacentral:rRNA from 1 species
CCCUUAGAUGUUCUGGGCCGCACGCGCGCUACACUGAUCAGUGCAACAAGCAUCCGUCCUUGGCCGACAGGCCCGGGCAAUCUUUGAACGCUGAUCGUGAUGGGGAUAGACUUUUGCAAUUUUUGGUCUUCAACGAGGAAUUCCUAGUAAACGCAAGUCAUCAACUUGCAUUGAUUACGUCCCUGCCCUUUGUACACACCGCCCGUCGCACCUACCGAUUGAAUGGUCCGGUGAAGCCUCCGGAUUGGCGCGCACCCCGGUGCCGCCGAGAAGUUGGCUAAACCUUACCAUUUAGAGGAAGGUGAAGUCGUAACA